AUUGGCAUCAAUUGAUAUUGAAAGCUCCGGCGGAUAGAGAUGGGCACGCGCAAGAUUUAGUUAGUUGGUGAGGUAACGGCUCACCAAGACGAUGAUCUUUAGGGGCCUGAGAGGGUGAUCCCCCACACUGGUACUGAGACACGGACCAGACUCCUACGGGAGGCAGCAGUGAGGAAUAUUGGUCAAUGGGUGCAAGCCUGAACCAGCCAUCCCGCGUGAAGGACGACUGCCCUAUGGGUUGUAAACUUCCUUUGUAUAGGGAUAAACCUACCCUCGUGAGGGUAGCUGAAGGUACUAUACGAAUAAGCACCGGCUAACUCCGUG
rnacentral:rRNA from 1 species